GAAAUACAUCUCUAUGUUGCAUUUAUCAAAGUUUCUUCUUCUUCUCUCUCUUUCAUCAGUUUGGAUCUUUUUUGUUUUUCAGUCACAAUGAACACAAAUCAAUUGACGCCCGAAACAGAGCAAGAUUUCGGUGGCUGACUGCGUUUCCAUGACUCUGAUCCAACGGUGGUGGUUUAAAGUGGCUGAUUUUGUUCCAAAGGCGGAACCUAUUAAAAAUUAUUCAACGGUGUAUGAUCCGACGGCGGAGCUGAUUAAAACCUCUCAGAAACUUCUAUAUGUAUUUUUUUAGCAGUGAUAAAACAGCUUCGAUUUUCUAAUUUAUUGGCACUGCAAACGUAAUUGUCUGUUCCGAUACUUUAUAUUCGUCAAUUCACAUCUGAUUCUAAAUAAUUUUGAUUUGGUCUUCAUGUUAUUCGUGUACUGCUAUAAAACAGAUAACAUUUAUGUAAACCAUAUAUAUAAAAUUAAAUAUAUAUUUGUAUACGAUAAUGUUAUUGUUAACAUGGUAACUUGUUUUAAAACAUGCUAAUUUUUUUUAUUUGGAUCGUUAACUUUAAAAUUAGUUAGUUGACUUUAUAUGUUAACCGUUAAAUAUUGUGUUAGAUUGGCAAUUAAUGCUAAAUUAUAAAGUGUAUUAAUGAGUUAUUGAUUUGUUUAACGUGUUAAUAAAAUAUAACUCAUAAAAUAUAACUCGAUAACAAAAUUUGUAACAUGUUGAAAAGUAAUAUUUAAUGUAAGCAAAUUGUGUAUCAUGUUACAAAAUUUGUUA
rnacentral:lncRNA from 1 species